rnacentral:rRNA from 1 species
UGGGGAAUUUUGCACAAAUGGGCGAAAGCCUGAUGCAGCAACGCCGCGUGUGCGAUGAAGGUCUUCGGAUUGUAAAGCACUUUCGACCGGGACGAAAAUCGGAUGGCUAACAAUCCAUCCGCCUGACGGUACCGGGAGAAGAGGCACCGGCUAACUCUGUGCCAGCAGCCGCGGUAAUACAGAGGGUGCAAGCGUUGUUCGGAAUUAUUGGGCGUAAAGCGCGUGUAGGCGGCUUUGCAAGUCGGGUGUGAAAUCCCUCAGCUCAACUGAGGAAGUGCGCCCGAAACUGCUUAGCUUGAGUGCCGGAGAGGAUGGCGGAAUUCCCCAAGUAGAGGUGAAAUUCGUAGAUAUGGGGAGGAGCACCGGUGGCGAAGGCGGCCAUCUGGACGGUAACUGACGCUGAGACGCGAAAGCGUGGGUAGCAAACAGGAUUAGAUACCCUGGUAGUCCACGCCGUAAACGAUGAGACUAGGUGUCGUGGGUGUUGACCCCCG